rnacentral:rRNA from 1 species
AACGUAGGUGGCAAGCGUUAUCCGGAUUUACUGGGCGUAAAGCGUGUGCAGGCGGAUGGCUAAGUGAGGUAUGAAAUCCCGGUGCUUAACAGCGGGAUGGUACCUCAGACUAGUGAUCUGGAGUCUGAGAGAGGGAUGUGGAAUUCCGGGUGUAGUGGUGAAAUGCGUAGAGAUCCGGAAGAACACCGGUGGCGAAGGCGGCCUGCUGGGCAGUUGCUGGACACUGAGGCGCGACAGCGUGGGGAGCAAACAGG